GACGAACGCUGGCGGCGUGCCUAAUACAUGCAAGUCGUACGCUUCUUUUUCCACCGGAGCUUGCUCCACCGGAAAAAGAGGAGUGGCGAACGGGUGAGUAACACGUGGGUAACCUGCCCAUCAGAAGGGGAUAACACUUGGAAACAGGUGCUAAUACCGUAUAACAAUCGAAACCGCAUGGUUUUGAUUUGAAAGGCGCUUUCGGGUGUCGCUGAUGGAUGGACCCGCGGUGCAUUAGCUAGUUGGUGAGGUAACGGCUCACCAAGGCCACGAUGCAUAGCCGACCUGAGAGGGUGAUCGGCCACAUUGGGACUGAGACACGGCCCAAACUCCUACGGGAGGCAGCAGUAGGGAAUCUUCGGCAAUGGACGAAAGUCUGACCGAGCAACGCCGCGUGAGUGAAGAAGGUUUUCGGAUCGUAAAACUCUGUUGUUAGAGAAGAACAAGGAUGAGAGUAACUGUUCAUCCCUUGACGGUAUCUAACCAGAAAGCCACGGCUAACUACGUGCCAGCAGCCGCGGUAAUACGUAGGUGGCAAGCGUUGUCCGGAUUUAUUGGGCGUAAAGCGAGCGCAGGCGGUUUCUUAAGUCUGAUGUGAAAGCCCCCGGCUCAACCGGGGAGGGUCAUUGGAAACUGGGAGACUUGAGUGCAGAAGAGGAGAGUGGAAUUCCAUGUGUAGCGGUGAAAUGCGUAGAUAUAUGGAGGAACACCAGUGGCGAAGGCGGCUCUCUGGUCUGUAACUGACGCUGAGGCUCGAAAGCGUGGGGAGCAAACAGGAUUAGAUACCCUGGUAGUCCACGCCGUAAACGAUGAGUGCUAAGUGUUGGAGGGUUUCCGCCCUUCAGUGCUGCAGCUAACGCAUUAAGCACUCCGCCUGGGGAGUACGACCGCAAGGUUGAAACUCAAAGGAAUUGACGGGGGCCCGCACAAGCGGUGGAGCAUGUGGUUUAAUUCGAAGCAACGCGAAGAACCUUACCAGGUCUUGACAUCCUUUGACCACUCUAGAGAUAGAGCUUCCCCUUCGGGGGCAAAGUGACAGGUGGUGCAUGGUUGUCGUCAGCUCGUGUCGUGAGAUGUUGGGUUAAGUCCCGCAACGAGCGCAACCCUUAUUGUUAGUUGCCAUCAUUUAGUUGGGCACUCUAGCAAGACUGCCGGUGACAAACCGGAGGAAGGUGGGGAUGACGUCAAAUCAUCAUGCCCCUUAUGACCUGGGCUACACACGUGCUACAAUGGGAAGUACAACGAGUCGCAAAGUCGCGAGGCUAAGCUAAUCUCUUAAAGCUUCUCUCAGUUCGGAUUGUAGGCUGCAACUCGCCUACAUGAAGCCGGAAUCGCUAGUAAUCGCGGAUCAGCACGCCGCGGUGAAUACGUUCCCGGGCCUUGUACACACCGCCCGUCACACCACGAGAGUUUGUAACACCCGAAGUCGGUGAGGUAACCUUUUGGAGCCAGCCGCCUAAGGUGGGAUAGAUGAUUGGGGUG
rnacentral:rRNA from 1 species